rnacentral:rRNA from 1 species
UACGAAGGGGACUAGCGUUGUUCGGAUUUACUGGGCGUAAAGGGCGCGUAGGCGGCCUGCUAAGUCGAACGUGAAAUCCCUGGGCUCAACCCCAGGAACUGCGUCCGAUACUGGUUGGCUUGAAUCCGGGAGAGGGAUGUGGAAUUCCAGGUGUAGCGGUGAAAUGCGUAGAUAUCAGGAGGAACACCGAUGGCGAAGGCAGGGUC